GUGGGGAAUAUUGGACAAUGGGCGAAAGCCUGAUCCAGCCAUGCCGCGUGUGUGAAGAAGGCCUUCGGAUUGUAAAGCACUUUUAGUUGGGAGGAAGGGCAGUAAGUUAAUACCUUGCUGUUUUGACGUUACCGACAGAAUAAGCACCGGCUAACCUCGUGCCAGCAGCCGCGGUAAUACGAAGGGUGCAAGCGUUAAUCGGAAUCACUGGGCGUACAGCGCGCGUAGGUGGUUUUGUAAGUUGGAGGUGAAAUCCCCGGGCUCAACCUGGGAACUGCCGACACAACUGCAUGACUAGAGGACGGUAGAGGGUAGUGGAAUUUCCUGUGUAGCGGUGAAAUGCGGAGAUGUAGGAAGGAACACCAGUGGCGAAGGCGACUACCUGGACUGAUACUGACGCUGAGGUGCGAAAGCGUGGGGAGCAAACAGGAUUAGAAACCCUUGUAGUCC
rnacentral:rRNA from 1 species